rnacentral:rRNA from 1 species
UACGUAGGGGGCUAGCGUUGUCCGGAAUCAUUGGGCGUAAAGAGCGUGUAGGCGGCCCGGUAAGUCCGCUGUGAAAGUCGGGGGCUCAACCCUCGAAUGCCGGUGGAUACUGUCGGACUAGAGUACAGAAGGGGCAACUGGAAUUCUCGGUGUAGCGGUGAAAUGCGUAGAUAUCGAGAGGAACACCUGCGGCGAAGGCGGGUUGCUGGGCUGACACUGACGCUGGAGGCGCGAAAGCCAGGGGAGCGAACGGG